UACAUAAUCAGCCCGCAGUCCAUCAACAUCUGUUCCGAGCGAGAUGGGGUCACGAUCCAGACAACGCUGGGCGCGGUGGCGGCGAUCUCCGGCCAGAUCCGGUCGAGGAGUCGAGGCAGGUCCGGAUCCUGUUCAGGGGACGGUGUGGAGGCGAUCUACGAAGCGCGGGAGGAGGUCAGGCGGCGGGGCUUGAACUCCAAGUUCAUGGCGGCGGCGUUCCUCACCGGUUCCGACCGAGAUGGGGAGCUCUGGCGGAGUCUCUCCAGGAUACGAUGGCCCUGCACCUGUGAGGGACAGAGGGGAGGAGAGGACGCGAGAAGCGGCGUGAAAGUUCUGGUGGUGCCCGUCUCCUGCAACAGCUCUCUUGAGUACGGUCAGAGAGAGAGAGAGAUGAGAGAGAGCCGGGAGGAAGAAGGAAAGGAAGGAGACUUCAGGAAGGGGCGGCGGGAUCCUGCGGGGCUGGGUUGGAGCCCCGGUGGUAGCUUGCUCCGGUGGUGCUACUGCUGCUGCUGGACGACAGCCGAUGGGACAAGGCCUAGGUAAGAGGAAAAACAUGUGCUGCAUUGACACAUUUGAUGCAGAGCAGCCACUGUAAGUUCCUCUCCCUUCUCUAAUUAGUAUUGAGAUUCCAUUGAUAUUUGAUGGAGAGCAGCCACCAAAAGUUCCUCUUUUGAUGCACCGAAAACAUCUCUCUCUAAUUUAUUCUCAGCUACAAAAUGACAUGUAUCUAUGCUACUUACUAAUGUGAUGGAUAAUGCAUGUGGAUUGAUUCAUGAAUUAGCAAAAUAUUUCAUUUGAGAUGUGCUAGAGAACGGUUUUGAUCUAACUGAAUAAUACGAAGUAUUUUAGUUUUGAUGGUAAUAGACGAGCAACUUUAGUUGUAUUUGGUUUCAGUUUUUGUUUUCAGUAUAUGUUGGUCAGGAUUCAACUUUGUUUAUGUCCAUGUUUUGCUGGUAUAAUGCAUCAUCAAGCUUUCUUUUUGUAUGAUGAUAUUGUGUAAAUCAGCAUAUGGAUGUGGAAAAUAUUCUUAGCGGCAUUAGCCUAGACAAGGAUGUUGAUGGUUAAUGGUUUACAUCCCUUAAACAUUGGUAAUGUUGCCCUUAGAAGCUGGAAACCUGUGAUUGUUUCUUGCGCUACAAUAUGGAUUUAUCUCAUGGAAAGCACGCGUGGUGAAAGAAAGUGAUCUGUCCUAACCAGGAAGACAACGCUGAGGGUGGCGGAUGUUUGCUAUGAGGUGGUGUAUGUACGUGCUGCACCUCAUGGCCGUGGCCUGCUUCCUGCAAGCCAAUUUACUGCUUCUUCCGAGGUCAUAUAGUGAUGCUAUGGCACCGAGAAUCUGGAGGUUAGUAAUUCUAUUCUAUUCUUCUCUAUUAAGAACAGUGUUAUUUUUCAUGAUUUAGUGACUGAUGAGUGCUAAUAAAUUAAUUCAAUCAUAUUGGGCCAUCUGUUAUAGAGCUAAACGAACCAUCUGAAGUGGGAUGCAUUGCAUUUUCCCAACAGAAUUUACAGUAGCACCAAGAAGGGUUGUGUCCAUCAUCCUCAUCAUGUCCGAUCUAGGCCGCCGGAGCACCAAGUCGCUGGCCUAUUCUAACAAGUCCAGGCCCUCGAGGCAGCCCUUCUCGCCGUGGAAGGAGACCCCGAUCUGUAGGAACGCCGGGUAUGGUCCCGUAAUUAACAACAAGACUCUCCUCUGUCCAUCCGCAUAACUCCCAUGAAGAAAAAUCUCUAAACUCCAGUCACCACCUUUAUGUCGAUCUAAGCGGUGGAGAGUUUGGUAUGGUGGCAAAUCAAGCAACUGCAGAUGGAGUCAUUCCAUGUUACUGCAUUGAGUUAGCAUACGCGGCAUGGAUGAUAGAUCAAACCCAAGUGAUUUGGAUUCUCAUGUUGGCUGCCUUCUCACAGUCGUGAACAUCCGUGAGUGAAUUUGGUUAUUUAGAACAAAAUCUAAGACUUGACCAAAUGAAAUUGGUAUUUUGUUGAACUGAACGACACACAUAUUGCCUAACCGUAAUUAUGUUACCUAUCACGACCUCAUGUGCUCCUGAAGCAAGCUGAUGUGUGUUGUGUGUACACGUUGUACACUGAAUUGUUCAUGCGAAAAGAUACAGCAGUAGAUACAAUCUACGCCAUGGAGCCGCUGGUGGGGCUCGACGAGGACGAGCGCUAGAAGGAGGUGUGCAUGAUGCCCAAACGUGGUGUCGAGGCCUUCCACAUCCGCACCCAAGCUGCGUCACUACCAAGCUGCUACAAGCAUACAGGGCCUUCCGUGUUCAAGCUGAAAAGGCAAGAAGAUCUCAUUAUUAACAUGGAUAAAAAAGGUGGAACGUCUUCUUCAGUAGAAUUACACAAUGGUUGGCUGAAGCUUUGGAUUGCUAAAGUACCAAGAAAGGUAAAAAUCCAUCUUUGGUGUAUUUAUUUUCAGAGAAUUUAUGUUGGAGAUGAGCUUAAGAGAAGAAAGUAUAUAGAUAUGGUAAGUUGUCCUUACUGCUUCAAGGGGGAAGCAUUUAUCACUGCUUUUGGGGUUGUAUUUAUGUCAGAUUCCUGGAGGAAGCUGUUAGUAAUUUGUGAUUUCUCGUGAUCUAAAAUUGUCGAUCGGAAAUUUUCUUCAUCGAAGUCCAUUCCAAUCGCCAACAAUUCUGUUUGCACACUCAGGUUUGUGCUUUUCUAUGGUGAUUUAUUAAACAUACUUUGGCUUACGAUCCCCUUUGACGUACACUUGUGCCCUCCACUACACAUUAUUUUCAGUUUGCCAAAUACUGUAGUAGGUAAUGAACUACAGAAAGCGGAUUGUUGAGUUUACCAAGCAUAAUGGCACACCUAAUUUUGGCAAAUCACCUGAAGAGUAUUUCAAGCAAAGAUGCGUUGAGAUUUUCACAUGACUAUAUGAGGUUACCAUAAACUCCUGUAUUGCCACAAUAGCUUCUUUUAAUGCAAUAGGGAAUUGUCUUUUUUUGUAUCAGGUAAAUAGUUCCUUUCUCACACUUUUUUCAGACUGAGAUCGUGUGCUGCUGCUGUGUGGUGUUCUAUUUCUGCUGUAUUCUUUUUGCUUUUUUGGGGGGCUUCUUCUCAUUCUUCUUUGGCACCUACGCUCUACUUGGGGAAACUUUGUACAUGGCAAUACAUAGAUUGGAAUUGAGAUUUGGAGCAAUUUUGUUCGUUUUCCUGUGUACUGAUGUUGCCAUUAUUUGUGCGAUGAUGCCAUUAUAUUGUACAAAGGGAAGAGACAGUUAGAGAGAUGGAUAGAAAUUACUAGCUACUGUAUUUGUGUUGUAAUUGUUUAUUAUUAAAGCUUAUUGUUUAUUGGUUGUUA